AACCUUUGCUGUCUUGGGACGGAUCACCGCUGCAAGAGGGGAAGUUGCUACUGUGAUGAAUUCUGCCAUGUGGCACCAGACUGCCACCCAGACCACAGUGUCCUCUGCAACCCUGGUCAAAGGUGCCUACAUGCUCCUUCUAGCUUUGUUUCCCUGAUGUUCCUUGCCACCUGCUACUCCUCUCUGAGCUACUUUUCCAGCUUCUCAGAUGACCAAGAUGGUGCUGCAGAUGGUGCUGAGGAUGGAGAACCCACCAAGCCCCGCUAGGAGCCACCUAGACUGGAUGCAGAGCAUGGUGAGCUCCCUGCAGGUUCUCUGAGAAGGGGUGGAUGGCAGCCUGCUCCUUGCCUUUGUGCCCUCCAGGCCCCAAAGUCAGGGAACCAAAAGAAGAAAGGGGCCGUAGCUAGGGCAGAGCUCCACUGCAAUGAUUGUUUUAGGGGUAGGAGCCAGGAUUGCCGUCUGUGGACACUGAAAUUUGAAUCUCAUAUACUUUUGUGACAAAACAUUCUUCCUCUUUUGUUCUUCUCCUACCAUCUAAAAAUGUAGAAAACAUUCUUAGCCUAUGAGUUGCACAAAAACAGGCAGUGGCCAGAUUUGGCCCAUAGACCAUAGUUUGCUGACUUCUGCCCUAAAUCAUCCUCCAUUUCUUUCCUUCUGUGUCCUUGUUACUGAC
rnacentral:lncRNA from 10 species